CCUUCGGUGUGCGCUUGCGCCGGCCCCUCGGCUGAGCGCUGUGCAGAAGCCCCGUGAAACUGGCGUUGAGGCGGUUUAGAGCUUUCAUCUGGCGAGUGAAUUGACCGAGGCGAGGACUAAGAACCUUUCUGGGCGCCCAGACUAGUGAUCGGCCUACCGGGGAAAAGGAGUUGCAGCGACUGCGGCAGUAACCGUUCGUUUUAGGCAUAUGAAUUCCUCUGGGAAAUCUUUCAGAAAGACAAACCCCUUGCUGAUGCCACUGCUGAGGGAAAUCCCCUGGAAGCAGACUGAAUAUGUGCCACUGGGUACGAAGCAGCAGCUAACCUACUCACCAGGUGGACUUCCCCCUGUGUUGGGGAGCUUUCACCAGAGUCGUCAAUGCUCUUGCAGCUUUAAUACAGGCCUAUGGGGGCAGACUUGCUGUGUCUGUGUGGAAAGUUUCAUCUUCCUCUCUGUGGGGCCACCAAGGUAGACUUUUUGAAAUGACUUUCUGGUUUUUUGAAAAAUUUUAGAGAUGACUUGACAUCUUGUGAGUCUUGGAAAAUCUCCUGGGGGCCUCCAUUUGGCAAGGCCCACAUUCUCCCCUGGGGGUGGAGGUAGGUGGAAGGUUGGGGUUACCCACAAGGCAAAGGUAAAAAGUGGCAGCGUAGAUUCCCAGUGACUGCAGGCAUGCUGAAUCACAUGGUGUUUAAGGGCAAGAUAAGAAUUUAGCCCUAAGCUUAAAUUGCUCUGCUGGCAGUUCAGUGAGCCAAGGAAUAUAAAAAAUGAAGCUUGUCUGUGUUUCCAUGUGGUAUUAGUGGUUGUUGAAACACAAUGCUCUGAGUUAGCCAUAAACACUGGUAAUAUAGUACUUUAGGAGAGUUAGGAUUUCUUGACCCCAGGGGUCAAUGAUGGCCAGGAUGGGGCUAGGGAUAUAACAGCUUGGGUGAACAGUAGGAGAGAAGUAGAUCUCUGCCCAGCUCCCUGGCCACAUUUACCAGUCAAGUGCUCCUCAGGGGGCUGAGGGAAAGAACCUGGCUGAAUUUGUAGCUUUACCUAUUUGUACCUUUCUCAUAGUAUUCUCAGUGCUGCAGCUCUUCCUGCACCCCAGUAGCUAUGACUGGCUGUCUGGGAAUGGUCAUUCUGUGAGGCUCUGAGGAAGAGAAGAGUGAUUUCUCUGUACCCCAGUUCUAUAAUUUAUGGGCAAAAGAGGACAAAUACAGCACCAAACAUGGGGUGAAGUGUGCUUCUGUUACUUACAUGAAGCAUGUGUGAAAGCCCUUCAAAUCCUUUACCUGAUCAGAUGCCAACAAAGCAACACUCCCCUGCCCCCUUGCCCAUAACAUCUAGUGUGGUUCUCUCUUCUUUAGUACAAGUGGUGGGUACAACAUGACGUCUGUCAACAGAACAGAGCAAUGACACAACUGUCAUUUCCCUUAUGCUCCCUUCUUUCCUUACCAGUCAAUAUAAUUCUGUGCCUGGAUUCCAUUAAAUCAUCACCAGUAAUGAGAAUACUGUCCUUUGAUUUGAAAGGGAAUUAACUUGAAUCAGCCUAACCCAAAGGACAUUUAAUUAAAACUACCCAGGAACCACCCCGCCCCCGCAAUUCUGUAGAGCAAAAGCCU